rnacentral:lncRNA from 1 species
UUUGUAUAUUUCUACUUCUAAUUCUACAACUCAAUAAAUAUUUUAAUUUCUGAUUCAAUUAGGUCUGGCUCUAACCCAACCCGAAUGUCUCUAGGCCUCAGGAAUGACAUUUAAUUUUGAAAACAUUUUUCCAGGCUUGGCAAGUGACUCCAUGAAGGCUUUCCCUGCCCUUCUGGGAAGGAGAUGAACAUGUUGGCUGGGUGAGCAGCUGUGUCUGUGCAACCUGGGGCUGUGGGCACACAGCACCCACUCACCCUCCUGAAGGGGGCUGGAGGAAUGGGGUGCAGCCAUGGAUGGACACACACCAUGGAUGAACCCUUGCACCCCACCUGUCUGAAGACUCUUUGUUCUCCUAAACUUCAUUGUAAUUAUUGAUCCAACUCCUCACUCCCACCACUCGAGUUCUGCAUGACAGAUAUGGACCAUUAUGCCCCAGAGAUGCUUGGAGCCUUUGUUGUCAGGAAAGUCAGCAGCCUUUACUCAUUUCAGAGGCUGCAACAUGAGCAACCUCUAGGCUUCCUU